rnacentral:rRNA from 1 species
AAAUUGAAGAGUUUGAUCAUGGCUCAGAUUGAACGCUGGCGGCAGGCCUAACACAUGCAAGUCGAGCGGUAGCACAGAAGAGCUUGCUCUUCGGGUGACGAGCGGCGGACGGGUGAGUAAUGUCUGGGAAACUGCCUGAUGGAGGGGGAUAACUACUGGAAACGGUAGCUAAUACCGCAUAACGUCUUCGGACCAAAGAGGGGGACCUUCGGGCCUCUUGCCAUCGGAUGUGCCCAGAUGGGAUUAGCUAGUAGGUGAGGUAAUGGCUCACCUAGGCGACGAUCCCUAGCUGGUCUGAGAGGAUGACCAGCCACACUGGAACUGAGACACGGUCCAGACUCCUACGGGAGGCAGCAGUGGGGAAUAUUGCACAAUGGGCGCAAGCCUGAUGCAGCCAUGCCGCGUGUGUGAAGAAGGCCUUCGGGUUGUAAAGCACUUUCAGCGGGGAGGAAGGCGAUAAGGUUAAUAACCUUGUCGAUUGACGUUACCCGCAGAAGAAGCACCGGCUAACUCCGUGCCAGCAGCCGCGGUAAUACGGAGGGUGCAAGCGUUAAUCGGAAUGACUGGGCGUAAAGCGCACGCAGGCGGUCUGUUAAGUUGGAUGUGAAAUCCCCGGGCUUAACCUGGGAACUGCAUUCAAAACUGACAGGCUAGAGUCUUGUAGAGGGGGGUAGAAUUCCAGGUGUAGCGGUGAAAUGCGUAGAGAUCUGGAGGAAUACCGGUGGCGAAGGCGGCCCCCUGGACAAAGACUGACGCUCAGGUGCGAAAGCGUGGGGAGCAAACAGGAUUAGAUACCCUGGUAGUCCACGCUGUAAACGAUGUCGACUUGGAGGUUGUGCCCUUGAGGCGUGGCUUCCGGAGCUAACGCGUUAAGUCGACCGCCUGGGGAGUACGGCCGCAAGGUUAAAACUCAAAUGAAUUGACGGGGGCCCGCACAAGCGGUGGAGCAUGUGGUUUAAUUCGAUGCAACGCGAAGAACCUUACCUACUCUUGACAUCCACAGAAUUUGGUAGAGAUACCUUAGUGCCUUCGGGAACUGUGAGACAGGUGCUGCAUGGCUGUCGUCAGCUCGUGUUGUGAAAUGUUGGGUUAAGUCCCGCAACGAGCGCAACCCUUAUCCUUUGUUGCCAGCGAGUAAUGUCGGGAACUCAAAGGAGACUGCCGGUGAUAAACCGGAGGAAGGUGGGGAUGACGUCAAGUCAUCAUGGCCCUUACGAGUAGGGCUACACACGUGCUACAAUGGCGUAUACAAAGAGAAGCGACCUCGCGAGAGCAAGCGGACCUCAUAAAGUACGUCGUAGUCCGGAUUGGAGUCUGCAACUCGACUCCAUGAAGUCGGAAUCGCUAGUAAUCGUAGAUCAGAAUGCUACGGUGAAUACGUUCCCGGGCCUUGUACACACCGCCCGUCACACCAUGGGAGUGGGUUGCAAAAGAAGUAGGUAGCUUAACCUUCGGGAGGGCGCUUACCACUUUGUGAUUCAUGACUGGGGUGAAGUCGUAACAAGGUAACCGUAGGGGAACCUGCGGUUGGAUCACCUCCUUACCAAAAAGA